AUUUUUGUGGAAUAUUUGUUUUGGAAUAUAUUACCCCAGUGAAGAAAGGGAUGCGUCUAAAGGAGGCUGUGAGCUGAAAAGAAGGAUGAGACUCUUCGGCCAAUGACAAGGCGAGAAUCAAUAACAUGGCCCUCCUCCGUGGCCGACUGAUGACCCUCGUGUUUACGACCAUGUCCCGGCCUCAUCUGAUUCCUUUUCUCUGCCUGUCAGUUCCUAAUAUGAUGCUCAUGUGUGGAAUCCUGUAUUAUACAAGAUGUCUCCAUUUCAUCAGGUUAAAAUCACAGACCAGUGGAUUUGCAGCAAAAACAAUAUAAUCAAUUGUAAUAAAGCACUUGAAACAAU